CAGUAGCCACGGUAAUACGUAGGGUGCAAGCGUUAAUCGGAAUUACUGGGCGUAAAGCGUGCGCAGGCGGUUCUAUAAGACAGAUGUGAAAUCCCCGGGCUCAACCUGGGAACUGCAUUUGUGACUGUAGAGCUGGAGUGCGGCAGAGGGGGAUGGAAUUCCGCGUGUAGCAGUGAAAUGCGUAGAUAUGCGGAGGAACACCGAUGGCGAAGGCAAUCCCCUGGGCCUGCACUGACGCUCAUGCACGAAAGCGUGGGGAGCAAACAGGAUUAGAUACCCCCGUAGUCCCUGUCUCUUAUAC
rnacentral:rRNA from 1 species